rnacentral:misc_RNA from 1 species
GUAAGUAUUGUGACGUUUGUAGUCUGACUCGGCCACAACUUAUUCAUUUUACAUCAAAUGGCUUAGAAAUGAAAGUUAAUUUUACUGUCUAGUGCAAAAUUAUUAAACGAAUUAAAUUUAGUGUAGGUAAAUGUCACACAGGCCCCGAUGCUGAGAGUCCACACGCGAUCAGCACCACUAUGAAGUAUGCAAAUAUUAUGUGCGAGCGCGCGCCCGAGCUGGCCGAGUCGCCGCACGCCGCGCCCGCCUGGCCGAGUCUGCGCGAGCCGCUGCGCUGUCCGCCAGAAGAAGCGCUGUGGACAUUCCCCGGAGUGGAUCGAGCGCCGCGCUCGCGCUCCUCGCCCGUGCGAACAAACAUAGAAGAAGAGUCGAUUCGAACGGGGCGCCAGCGCUGCUCGUCGGCGUCCCCCAGGCCGGCGGCGGGAGAGGCGGCGGCGGCAGCGGCGGCGGCGGAGGCGGCGCGCGCCCCCCCCGCGCCCCGCCUGCCCCCCGCGCGCCUCCCGCAUCCUGGCGUCGUGACGGCAUACUACUCGCUGCGGCCGCCGGCGGCGCCGCUGCGGCUGGUGGCGACGAGUCGGCGCGUGCCGCCCGCGCUGCCGCCGCACUCCUGCACGUCGUCGCCGCCGCUGCCCUGCGCCGCGCCCAUCGACGAUGAGAGGUGUAAGAACGUGGUGCGCAGCGUGCUCUGCGAGCUGAUGUCGGGAUUGCCGAUGUCAGCUGCGUCGUCGCCGGAGAGACGCGCGCGGCUGCCGCGCGUGCAGGGAUUUGUCCCGCGUUCGCGCAGCCCGCACUCGCGCAGCCCGAGCGUGCGCAGUCCGCUCUCGAGGAGCCCGCACUCGCGCUAUCCACAAGCGAGAUCAGCGACACCUCUAGAGGCCGGUGACCGCUUGCCGUCGACUGGCGCCCACACCCCUAUCCUCCGCGACAGAUGCACACUGCAGGCGGCAGGCGGCGCGCGGCGCGCGGGCAGCCCCGCCAGCGCCGGCGCGGGCGCCCGCGUGGCGCGGCACGUGGCCACGCAGGCGCGCGGCGUCAGUGUUCGGAGCGAGGGCUGUCACCUAGGUUCGGCGCGACGGCAACAUUUCUUCAAAGACAAAUCAAUAAGGUGUCGGUAGAAUUGAUGCUGCAAACCGAACUAUGCUCGAUUGUACCCAGUGGGAGCCCGUCAUAUCGGCUCAGACUUGCCAGUCCCUGCUUGUGAAGCACCGCCAUCACUCACUGUCUUAAAAUGCCGAAAAGCUUUACUUACACCUCCAGCUUUCUCAAGCGCAGAACAAGUCUGAGCUAAAUAGGUGCUGGUUAGAAGGCGUGGCGGUGGCGGACGGCGGCGACGAGUGGCUGGGUGGCGUGCGCGCGCUGCGCGACUCGCACGUGCGCCUCGUGCUGCGCCAGCUGCGGCACAUCGAGCGGCUCAACCGCGCGCUGGACCGCGCUGCGCGCCCC